rnacentral:rRNA from 1 species
CUGGCGGCGUGCCUAAUACAUGCAAGUCGAACGCACUCUCGUUUAGAUUGAAGGAGCUUGCUCCUGAUUGAUAAACAUUGAGUGAGUGGCGGACGGGUGAGUAACAACGUGGGUAACCUGCCUAAAGUGGGGAUAACAUUUGGAAACAGAUGCUAAUACCGCAUAAAACCCAACACCGCAUGGUGUAGGGUUGAAAGAUGGCUUCGGCUAUCACUUUAGGAUGGACCCGCGGUGCAUUAGUUAGUUGGUGAGGUAAAGGCUCACCAAGACCGUGAUGCAUAGCCGACCUGAGAGGGUAAUCGGCCACACUGGGACUGAGACACGGCCCAGACUCCUACGGAGGCAGCAGUAGGGAAUCUUCCACAAUGGACGAAAGUCUGAUGGAGCAACGCCGCGUGAGUGAAGAAGGUUUUCGGAUCGUAAAACUCUGUUGUUGGAGAAGAAUGUAUCUGAUAGUAACUGAUCAGGUAGUGACGGUAUCCAACCAGAAAGCCACGGCUAACUACGUG